rnacentral:rRNA from 1 species
CGUGUAGGCGGUUAGGCAAGUCAGGUGUGAAAUCCCUUGGCUCAACCAAGGAAGUGCGCUUGAAACUGCUUAACUAGAGUACAGGAGGGGAAAAUGGAAUUCCCAGUGUAGAGGUGAAAUUCAUAGAUAUUGGGAGGAACACCGGUAGCGAAGGCGGCUUUCUGGCCUGAUACUGACGCUGAGACGCGAAAGCGUGGGGAGCAAACA